rnacentral:rRNA from 1 species
CCACAUCACGAAAGUGAAUUGUACUAGAAGUCUGCAGGCUGACCCGCAAGGGAGGCAGCGGCCCAAGGUAUGAUCCAUGAUUGGGGUG